GGGGAAUGGCUUUCUCUCUUUCUUUUUCUCUCACUUGGCUUUUGCCUCUCUUCAAAUGACUCUCUUGUGCUCUACUAAUCUGAACCAUCUCAUUUUAACCUAAUGAGACAUAAUGGACCACAAUAUUUGGGCCUAUUCUCCACAUAGGAAGGGAGCCUAAUAACCCAACAAAUCUCCCCCUCACAACUAUGUGGAGAUAUCCGCCAAACCGGCGAUCUCACAACAAACUUCAAACUUUCCUCUUGGCAAUGCCUUGGUCAUCAUAUCAGCACCAUUAUCAUCUGUAUGAACUUUAGCUAGUUCCACCAACU
rnacentral:lncRNA from 1 species